AAUAUAUUAUGGGCUGAUUUCCAAUUCAUCUUUGUUGGAUGCAUCUCUGUUGUAUCCAGGAAAUAAACAUGGAGUUACUUUGCAAGUCCAACCCAUACUAUUCAUGUCCAGCAAUGAGAGAGAAGAUAUAAUUCUUUCAUAAGUUAUCAUUUCAGGAAAAAUAUGCCUAUGGUUCCCCACCUCUAUCUUGCAGUAUAACUUGCAGUUUCUCUAUUAUCCAAAGAAAAGUUGUAGCAAUUGUACAGUUCUUUUUUUUUUUUUUUUCAGGAGCAAUACAAACAUCUCUCUGUCUUCUCUCUUCUUAAAGUCAAUGAGGUAUUUCAGGAAGAGCCAAACUUAAAAGGCAGUUUAAAAUCCUUUUUAUUGUCUAUUAGUAGGGGUUGAGUCCAAAUUUUCACAAUUAUUAAUGAAGAGAGUAAUAAGAACUGCUCCACAAUGUAGUUGAGACAAUUAUAGGGACUAAGGUUUGCAAACUACUAACAAUGCCUUGGGAAAAGUAGAUACUUGAUAAACACAAGUCACCUUUCCUCUUCAAACAGCAUAGCAAUUUUAGAUAUCUUUGUCUCACUUUACUUCUUAUACAGUUAUUAUUUCUCUUAUCUCACCUAGUCAUUCAUAAAUCUCUUGAGCUUAUGAAUCAUGCUUUGUUUCUUUUUAUUGCCCAUGGAGCUGACCUAAAUUAUUUUCAUAGAAAAGAGCCCUGACAAUUAAUUUGUAGCUGAAAAACAGAUAAUAACUCGGAUCGAUACUCCUAUCACAAAACUAUAGGUAAAAUAUAUUGAUGAUGCAAAUUCUAGUAGCCUUUUAAUAUGUCAGACUGUGUUGUGUGAAUUCCAUUUGUUCUCCAGUUUAAUCUAGCAUUGUGAACCUAAGUAUGCAGUUAUCUAAAUUUGCAAAAGAGGAAACUGAGAUUUAUAGAUGUUAAGAGCUCAUUUCAUAAUCAUUCAGGUAAUGUGUUGUAGAGCUUGUCCUCAAGUCCAGAUCUUGUCACCCAGCUCCUCUGAUCCAAUUAGACCACUGUACAUCACUCACAAUCCAUGUAGGACAUGGCCUAAAGUCAUUUAUAUCUCUCAAUGUGGUGAAGUUUUGGAAGGAUGAAAAUAUCAAGCUAAGCCAUGAGGAGAUUUUGAGAGUCCACACUGCAUGGUGAAUAUUUACACUAUUAUGGGAACACUGAUAAAGUCAGGCUGAGGGAAAAUCUAGCUUGUAUAAAUUCCUCUCUAGCUAUAGAUCCCAGACAUCAGUGAGCAAGCAGCCUCCUUGCCCUCAGACUUAGUGGUGCCCAUUGCUGGCUCUUUCCUCCUUGGAGGAUCCUCUCCAAAUUAUGGCCCCAGUUCUGGUCCAUAUUUUGGAUGUUUUGUUUUGAGUUUCAGUUCUGUGCUCCAGAAGGAUACCUCCUUAUCUACUUUCUACUGAACACUGAUGUCUCAGAAAACUGUUCAGUUCCUCUCUUGCCAGGUAGUAUAGUCUAGGCCACAGUUUUUAUGGGAAGUGAUAUGAAGCCGACUUCCCUAUAUUUAUUUGGCAAAAUAGCAUCAUGCCUCAUUCUUGAUACCUCAAAUGUAACAGCAUGCAUAUUCCUGCAGUGAGAAACCCUUCUUGAUUCAUUAACAUUGGCUUUUCUGCUGUACUGACCUUUAGUUUUUCUUUUUUCAAUACCAAAUUGGGUCAUUGCAAGCCCAGACAGUGGUAUGGGGGUACAGUCAGGUCUAGGGUUGCAAAACAAGAGUGCUCCCUAAAGUGCUUGGUGAAGAUGUUGGAUCUUCCAGGCACAGAAUAUACCAACUUAAGAAAGCAAAAGUGUACUUGAGGCCAUCUACCAGGAAUGAGCAUGGUACAAACUGAAGCAAGAAUGUGAAACCAGAUUAUGUGAGUGGAGAAUCAGGUCAGAGCAUCAUGACUCUGGGAGACAGUCAUGAAUAAACCUUAGAUGUAGCCACAGUGGGUUAGACUGGUAAAGAUCAACCCUGCCAUUUAUUAAUGAACACAUUAAAUGUUCU
rnacentral:lncRNA from 1 species